rnacentral:rRNA from 1 species
GAGUUGAUCCUGGCUCAGGACGAACGCUGGCGGCGUGCUUAACACAUGCAAGUCGAACGAUGAACCGCCUUCGGGUGGGGAUUAGUGGCGAACGGGUGAGUAACACGUGGGCAAUCUGCCCUGCACUCUGGGACAAGCCCUGGAAACGGGGUCUAAUACCGGAUACUGACCUGCCGAGGCAUCUCGGCGGGUCGAAAGCUCCGGCGGUGCAGGAUGAGCCCGCGGCCUAUCAGCUUGUUGGUGAGGUAAUGGCUCACCAAGGCGACGACGGGUAGCCGGCCUGAGAGGGCGACCGGCCACACUGGGACUGAGACACGGCCCAGACUCCUACGGGAGGCAGCAGUGGGGAAUAUUGCACAAUGGGCGCAAGCCUGAUGCAGCGACGCCGCGUGAGGGAUGACGGCCUUCGGGUUGUAAACCUCUUUCAGCAGGGAAGAAGCGAGAGUGACGGUACCUGCAGAAGAAGCGCCGGCUAACUACGUG